rnacentral:piRNA from 1 species
UAAAAAGCAGGACUGAGAUGAUUAUUGA